GGGCAGCCAAGUCGUGAGGCGGAGCUAAUCCCUUAAAGCCAUUCUCAGUUCGGAUUGUAGGCUGAAACUCGCCUACAUGGAGCUGGAGUUACUAGUAAUCGCAGAUCAGAAUGCUGCGGUGAAUGCGUUCCCGGGUCUUGUACACACCGCCCGUCACACCACGGAAGUUGGGGGCGCCCGAAGCCACUUAGCUAACCCUUUUGGGAAGCGAGUGUCGAAGGUGAAAUCAAUAACUGGGGUGAAGUCGUAACAAGGUAUC
rnacentral:rRNA from 1 species